GAGAGAAUUCUGACGUUCUGAUCUGAGUUGAAAAUGUUCUUAAAAUGAGAACGGCAUUUUUUGAGCUCAAAAUGUUCUCUUUGUGAUUGAAUCAAGUUGAAUUUGUACUUAAAAUUUGGUUAAACCAAAAUUGUUCUCAAAUCAAGAACGAAAUGUUAUACAUUUAUCACGUGGUUCUUAAAUCAAUUUCAAUUUCUUCUCAGAAACCCAAUAAUCUCAAUAUGUUCUUAAAGUAAGAACGGGAGGGACAAAAAAUAGAACGAAAACAAGCACGCGUUAGACCCUUCUACUUUGCUCUUCUUCUUCUGAACCAUUCGGCUGGCACAUUUCAUCAGCGUUUCGAUUGGUUUGCAAAAGUUUAAAGUUAAAGUAAUGGAAAGUGAAAGUGACGAGCAGUUGUCAAAGUUCCUGGAGGAUAUUAAAAUGGAGUCCGCAAGGAAAUUCCUUGAAGGUUAGUAUAAAUUCCUAAGUUCAUCAGCUCUUUUACUCUCAUUUUUUGUGCUAAAAUAAACGUACGUAUGUAUGUAUGUAUGGUAUGUACACAUGUUGUGAAUUUUAUAAAGUUGUAGAUUUAGUUCUGGUUAAUGAAAAUGUAUUUAUAAUUUGCCAGCAAUCAGAAACUACAAUUUUUGAUAGCCAUUAUAGAGCGUAUGAAAUAUUAAAUGAAAAUGAAGACUCACCUAUUCUUAUUAAAAAUAUAAUUUCUUUCUCUAGUGCACCCUUACACAAAUACUUAUUAAAUAAUAAAAAACAUUACCUUAGAUUUAAAUAUUUAUAAGCUUGUAUAUAUACCUUAAUGUUAUAAGAGAUUUAAGCCUGUAAUUAAUCACAUAUUAUAUACAUAUCCCAUAUAUAUUACAAUUCAAUAAAAGUAAAAAACUAUUACAAGCCAAA